AACCAACACAACACACAACUCUAAAUUAAUAGACUAUGUUCAGCUUAAUGGCUAUGCAAGCCAAGGAAGCAAUACAAUGGUGAGUCACUUAAAAUGAGGCAUUAUUUUUUCUGGAACAAAGAAAAGAAAAGAGAACAAAAGGGUUGAAAGACUAAAAUGAAGAUAAAAAGUUUAGAUAUGUGCAUCCAAAAUCCUGAGGGGUCUAGAAGCAUUUCAAAGCAAGACGGAAUGAACAGUGAGAAGUGAGAUGAAUACACUUAAAGAAAUGUUUUUGUGAUUGUUUGUCUUAUUUUAGGCUUCACAACGAAUGUAAAAGACAAGUCUCAGGAAAAGAUGUAAUUCUAUGGAAGAAAAAAGAUAGAAAAUAACAUCACCCAAAUGAAAACAGAUGAAGAUAAAGAUCAUUUCUUGAACAAUAUCUUCACAUCAUGGCUGGGCAAAGUGGCAAGAGACGGAAAACUGGGCCAGCAAGGAGAGGUCCCAAUCUGGGAUAUGCUUUCCUCAGGUUAAAGGGAGAAGAAGAGAUAUUGCUAAUGGCACUGUAAGCAGAUGAGCAGAUGAACAGAAGCGCAGAAGAGCAGCAGAGUGGCACAGCAGAGAAGGAGAGAAGAGAAGGAGCAUCUGAACGUUGAGAGGAGUUCAACUAGAAUUGGUCAGAGAGGAGACUGAUCACAGGAUAGCCAAACUCCAGGAGAAGAUUAUGUUUCCACUCCAUCCCCUUUCCAGAUCCCCAAACCAUCCCUCUGAGAGCCACCUCUGCCACUCAA